rnacentral:rRNA from 1 species
GGCGGACGGGUGAGUAAUGUAUAGUUAAUCUGCCCUUUAGAGGGGGAUAACAGUUGGAAACGACUGCUAAUACCCCAUACUCCUUUUAUCUUAAUGAUAAUUGGGAAACGUUUUUUCGCUAAAGGAUGAGACUAUAUGGUAUCAGGUAGUUGGUAGGGUAAGAGCCUACCAAGCCAAUGACGCCUAGCUGGUCUGAGAGGAUGAUCAGCCACACUGGAACUGAGGCACGGUCCAG